AGAUACCAAGCCUAAUUGCAAAACCAAACAGAUACCAUGAUUCGUGAGCUUGAAAGUAAAACCCUAAUCUCCCAUUCUGCUACCGAUUUCCCUCUGCCUAUUCUCCUUCGUUUUUAAAACACAAAGAAACGUCUGAUGUCUCUUUUCUUCUCCCUAUACUUCUUCUUCUUUGGUUUUUACAACAACAUCCAAAAAUGCUUUGUGUUCUUUUUAGCUUUCUUUGUUUUCUUUUCAGAAACAUGCGUAGAACAAAGGAGCUUCCCGAUGCUUAUACGGAGUGUAAUUGUUUGAUUCUAAUAUUGUGGACUGAUUUUCUUUUUGCAGGGAUAAAGUAGAAUAGUUAACUGAAGAAAGAAGGAAUUAAUCAAUUGGAAUACAGAAUUGAAAGAAUCAAUCAAUAAACAUGUACGCGUGGGUCUUUCAAUGAUGAGAUGAAAGAAAUAGUUGAGAUGGAAAUGGCAAUGAAGAGUAUGUUGAAAUGGGUUGAGAAGAAUACGGAUCUCAAGAAAACAAAGAUCAACUUUACAAGCAUGUCACCUGCUCAUGGCAGGAGUAUGGAUUGGGGAGGUGACAAAGAUGGCAGCUGUUAUAACCAAACGACUCCAAUUAAAGAUCCGUCUUAUUGGGGAAAUUGAUCGCGUAAGAGCAUAAUGAGAGUAAUCAGAGACGUGUUUAAUAAAACUAAGGUUGCCUUCAGUGAGAUUUGGAAGGGAAAAUAAGAGCAUGGAGGCCAAUAGAAUAUGCCGUGUAAAGGUUUCAACUUUUUCCAGAAGCACCACGUCAGAACCGUAUUUUGCCCUAUAAUACUUCUCUCCAUGUUUUUAUAGUGACCGGAUUCUAUUACGGAUGCUCAAGUUUGAAGGUGAAUGUUUGAAAAUAUAAUUUUUCAGAACAUGAAUGCUUAUUUUUCUAUUGAACUGAUAUUGCUCAUAGACAUCUACAAGAAACGUAAACUUAUGUAUGCAUGGUGGACCACUGAAUUGAAAAACAUGAACUCUGGUAUACAUGGUAGACUCACUCAAUCACUAUUAGUUUUUAGGUUACUCAUUCGUGGAGGUUUCUUUUGACUUUUAAAAUAAAUUUGUUCAGGAAGAUGCAAUUUUUUUGAAUGUCCCAGUUAUUUUGCUGAUUUUUAAAUAUUCUCUUGAAUUGCGUUACAUCAGAUGUAUUUCCAUGUGGAUAGAUCACUCCACGCCACCAAUGCUAAAUGUAUUUUCAUUUGAUGUUGUUCGAAGGGGGAAUGAUGAGAUGGUAAUAUAUAAGUCAUAAGAGGUAAAGUCUGGCAUUGCAUGGGUACCAAUGUGUUCCAAUUAAGUAACGUCACUCAUUCUGCAGUAGUGUAUGCCCAAACGUCAUACGGGCUCCAUAAACUGCAUGUUACUGUCACUUAUGACACUAAUUUUUCUUAAGAACUUCAAUGAAGAUCGAGAAUAUGAAAAUUCCAAGUAUUGGUGUUGCUUAUGAUCGAGGUUGAAGUGUGAAUUAUGAUUAAGUUGAUUGUUAAAACAUUUGUUUGGCAUCACAUUUCGCAGAUAUGAAAUGAAUUUCAUCAUGCCCUAUGGAACACUGCUAAUGUACUCACGAUAAUCCCAGGUAUUGUAUGAAUAUCGACGUUAUUUCUGUAAGUUGGUCUCAUUUUCCUUUGUCACUGUUGCUAGAUGAAUUUUCAGAGUUGCCAACCACACUAUAUUUGGGAAUUCCUGUUUUAAUAACAGGUAUAAAGAGAUAUUUGAGAUAUAGUUUUUCGACGAUAGAUAAACUUCAUCCAAAAGGUGGAAAUAUUUGCAAAGGUGCCACUUCUAACACUAAAUGAUCCUAUGGUAACAUGGUGAAUAUCUUUGGGGGCUGCAUUAGAAUAACAUAGGAAAAAGAAAUUCUUAAUUACUUCCAAGUUUGUAGUGUUAGGCCAGGGUUUGAUGAAGAACCGAAGUACUCAGAUAUCUAUCCAAGUUAACUAAUUGGAUAUGGGCUCUGGAGAAGAAGAUAUCAUCACUGCUUAAACACUUGGUGGUUGAACAAGAUUACUAUUUUUUUCCAGAUCCAUUUAUCUGAUGGGUAGUGUUUCUCCUGGUAUACACAUCUCACAUGUAACAUCAAACUCCAAGGUUGGGGUUCCAUCAUCUUUUGGGAUAAACAGAAAAAUUAACCCCAGAGAAAUAUAAAAAUUAACCCCGUGCAACGCACGGGCAAGACACUAGUACAUAUG